UGCGGGGUGGAGCAGUGGUAGCUCGUUGGGCUCAUAACCCAAAGGUCGUCGGUUCGAGUCCGGCCUCCGCUA
rnacentral:tRNA from 1 species